GGGAUCUUUCACUGAUGUUUGGGCUAAGACUAUAGGUGGGAGGUGACUUUGUACUUACGGAGACUAGAUCAGCUCCUAGGUUAAAUGAACUUGGAGCAUCCUAGGGAGAGACCUGUCUCCUUGGAACCUACUGUGGUUGAUUUUAUGUGUCAACUUGGCUAGGCCACGGUGCCAAGUCGUUUAGUCAAGCACAUGCCAAGCUGUUGCUGUGAAGGUAUUUUUCCAAUUUAGUAAAAAUUUAAGUCAGUGGACUUUGCAUAAAACAGAGUACCUUCUGUAAUGUGGGUAGGCUUCAUCCAGUCAGUUGAAGACUGUCAGAGGAAGACUGAGGUCCCUGGAAGAGGACAGCCUUCUGUUGCCAGUCUGCUGUUGGACUCAGGACCACCACAUUGACACGGCUGGAAUUUCCACCUGCUAAUCUGCCCUGUACAGUUUGGGCUUGCCAGCUCCUACAAUCACCUGAGCCAGUUACUUAAAAUAAGUCUAUGUAUAUACAUCCUAUUGGUUCUGUUUCUUCAGAGAGCCCUGACUAAUGCAGAAGCCCACUGGACCCUGGGUUGUGCCUUCAGCAUGCAUUCUUGGGACUGCUGGAAGAAGCCUCACUUGGAGCUAUGGGCAGCCAUGGAAAUUCCAAUUGUGGCCGCUGUUCCAAGCUGACCUCACGUCCCCAGUUCCCUGAGGCCCUGCCCAAUGGUUCAGACUUCAGUGUCAGCAGACAGUGGUAGCUCGUGUGCCUUUGGCUUCUAAGUCUCCUGGGUCACUAAUGGGUUGUUUAUAUUUACAGACUGGAAUUGUGUUAGCCUACUCUGAAUGUAUGACAAUGUCUGCAUCUCUGUUUCCUGGCCCUAAAGGAUUAGUAGCUAUCUCGGCAAAGGUGGAGUGUCUGUUUGCUGGGGAAGAUGUGGCAGGAAAAAUAGAACAUUUCAAGCUCUGAGGGUGUAGUAUACUUUUAGGGGUCAGGAUGGGGCUAUUAUUGAAGAUGGAAAUUAAAUUAGGGCAAAGAGAGGCCAAUAAGGAGAGAGGUGAAGACUGAAAGUCUCAAGAACUUGGAGGAAGGGGAGAGCUUCAAAUAAUGAGGCAGGGAGGGUGACGGGCAUAGCGGUCAAAGGAAGCCUGGCUACAUUGCAUCCACAGCAUUUUAUCCUCCAUAUGCGCUAGAGGAUGCCCUGUAAACUUGCAGAGCCACAAUAGGUGAUUAAAGUUUAUACAAAUGAGAUUGAAUCCUGUUUACUUUCCCCUUAGGGGCUAUUUCCUCUUUACCUUUUUACAGUUUUUCAUUCAGUUGACUUGCUUGCUUGUCCUUAGGUUUGGACAGACGUUUCACCUGACAACAAGCUUUAUAAAUACAGAUUUAGGCAGAUAAUUUGGAGGUGCUGAGGUACAUGUGUGUCGACCACUUUUAAAGUCUCAUAGCUCCAGGGCUGGGCAAGUGAACUGCCCAUACACAUGGUAGAUUUGCCUCUGGCACCACUAGAAAUUUGUAUCUUGGCUUUCAGCUCAGUGGGAUGCAAUUACUAACUUACUCUAGAUAAACAUUGCGGUAUUAUUUAAAAAACUAGUAUGAUUCUUGUUUUUCCCUCCUAUAUUUUAUGAGAUGUAAAUGAGGGGCACUCUGGGUCAUUCUCAUUAUAUUGACACUGGAACUUUAGUCUAGUUUUCUCUAUAAGAGCAAAGUUCUGUGGAUUAUUCCAAAGCUAUCAUCAGUAGCAUAUAAAUGAAGGGGUGGUGGGGCAUCUGGAAAGCUUUUGUGGAGCCAGAAAAGAUCCUGCUUGUCUGUUUGAGAGGAUGAUGUUGGGGAACCGCAAACAUUGACUGGUGUGGGGUCUCUGCCCAUGUGGGAGAUAGGGGCAGGUGUUAAGUCACUGGUGAUGGAAAGGAUUAUAUAUGAUGUGGUCUCUGUGGCUUCAUGAGAAGAGCAUAUGCAGAUGUGACAAGCUCAUUUGAUCUAUAGAAAACAUGUCACCCAGUUAUUUUGUCAUUUUUUCCUGAGCUGUAGGAUAUACAUGAAAUUUUCUGGGAUCUGAAUUGUAAAUAUGACUACACACUAGUCAUUUCCACUCCUAUUAACAGGCUAGUAUGAUUAGCUACUAGGGAUGUCCCCACUUGUUCCCUGAAAUCCCAGGCAACUUGGUCAAUGGGAAGAGAGAUGUGGAAUCACCCUGAACGUGCAGGCACAGUGAAGGCUGUAUUGUGACCCAUCAUCCCAGCUUCAGGCUUGAACCAGACAUCAGAUUAGUUCAUGUGCUUAAAGAUUCGCCCCAGGACUCAGGAAGGCUACAUUCUCUUAGGUUACUUGGAGACAAUUGCAAAUUCUAUGGAAAGUUCCAGAACCCUUUGUUCUUCAAGUAUUAAUUCUGUAUUGGUUAGGGCUACAUCUGGCUGUAUAUGGCAGAGAACUUAAAUUUAAAGUUGUUUCAACACAUGUGGUAUUUUCUCUCAUGUAAAAAGUUAAGAGGGAAGCCUUCAUGCCUGGUAAGAUGUAUUGCAAAGUCAUCAGGUGACCAGAUGCCUUUCUGCUCUCCAUUCUACAAUUCCCAAGGCAUAGCCUUUAUUCAUAUGGUCCCUAAUAGUUGUCACUGUUUGGCUAUCACUUCUAUGUUUUAGGCAGUGAGAUGGAGGAAGGAUAAAGAAGGAUAUGUCUCCUCUCUCUAAGGACAUUUCUCAGAAGCCAGACACAACACCCCUGCUUACCCUCCACAUCCAGAACUUAAUCACCUGAGCAUGCUGGGCUGCAAAAGAGCUGGAAAAUACACCCUUUAUUGUUGGUGGCCAGGAGCCCAGCUAAACGUCAGGGCUCAGUCACUAAGGAAGUAGGAGAGAAGGGAUAUUUUAGACACCUAGCAGUCCCUUCCUCUCUUCCACCACAUGCUACUGGAGAGUACUUACAUUUACAUAUGUUUAAAUGCAGCAAUUAUUGAAUGUGGAGAAAAACUAAUACAAUGUUAUGUAUCAAUUAUAUUUCAAUAAAACUGGGGGAAUAAAAGGAGUAAGUGAAGGGAGGAUAAGAAAAGAAUUAUUGAAUGUCUACCUUGUACUGGGAUGGGGUCAGGUCCUGUGGGGGAAAGAAAUAUGACUAAGACAGAAAUUAAAUAUGACUAAGAUAGAUCAGAGAAAUGGAGAUGCUGUGAGUUGUGAAGUACAUGUUUUAUGUACCAUUAAGGAAUAAAACUACUGCCGGUUUUAAUUGUAGUACUUUACAUUGCCAGAUAAUCCAUUGAUUUCAGAGAUGUUUAAAUGUCAAAAAUAUGCCUCUUAGUAUUAAUGUGAACUAAGCAGUUCAGAGUUUGGAUUCUAGUAUCAGAUUUUUGGAGCAUCUUAUUUAAUCUCUCUAAACCUUAGCACCUCCACUUGAAAAAUGAGCAUAACAACAGUCCCUAACUUGAGGUACGUGAAAGGAUUAAGUGAGGUAAUUCCCAUAUAGCUCACAGCCCAAUGCCAGACAUAUAGUAAGUCCUCAUUAAAUACUGGCUUUCAGUGGUUUUCUUUUAUUUUAAUUUUUUUAAUUGAAGAGUAGUGUAUUUACAAUAUUAUAUUAGUUUCAUGUAUACAAUAAAGUGAUUCAUAUAUAUAUAUUUCAGAUUCUUUUCUAGUUAUUAUGAGAUAUUAAAUAUAGUUCCCUGUGCUAUAUAGUAAAUCCUUGUUGCUUAUCUAUUUUAGGUAGAAUGGUUUAUAUCUGUUAGUUCCAUACUCCUAAUUUAUUCCUCCCCCAGCCCCUUUCCCCUUUGGUAACUGUAAGUCUGCUUUCUAUGUCUUUGGGUCUGUUUCUCUUUUGUAUAUAGAUUCAUUUAUUAUUCUUUUAGAUUCGACAUGUGAUAUAUUUAUCUUUCUCUGUCUGACUUAUUUCACUAAGUAUAGUAUUCUUUAGGUCCAUUCCGGUUGCUGCAAAUGGUAAUAUUUCAUUCUUUCUUUGUGGUUGAGUAAUAUUCAUACGUAUAUUCAUACACACACACACUCAUCUUUAUUUCUUCUUCUGUUGAUGGACACUUAGGUUGCCCCCAUGUCUUAGCUGUUAUAAAUAGCACUGCUAAGAACAUUGGGGUGCCUGUAUCUUUUCGAAUUAGAGUUUUCCUCUUUUCUGAAUAUAUGCCUAGGAGUGGGAUUGCUGGAUCAUUAAGUUCCUGCUUUCAAAAUAGCUUAGUGGGAGACACAGUUAACAUAAAAGAGCCAACAAGAUAAGGGGAUGAGUGGGAAAAUUCCCUAGCCUGUGAGAAACUGCUAUUUGGGUGAGGCUGCUUCUCAGCUACAGAGGCAUGAUUUGUUUAAAGAGGUCAAUUGGAAGAGUCUUUUAAAAAUAACUGAGGACAGCUAACAUGUGUGGUACGUAUCAUGCCUAUUUAAAUGGUCUGAAGAAAAUCUCCUUAAGUAGUGGGGAGAAAUGUUAACAGUUCAGACAAUUCCAUUGCAAUAUGUCUCAGUUCUUCCCUAGGGUGGACCGAUCUGGGAAGACUGCAUAGAAUUCCAGUCAUGGGAAACACUUGAAUAUGGCUGAGGGUGUUAGAGGUUCCUCCUGAAAGGAGACUUACAGAGCAUGUUCUUCUGGAAAGUUCUCACGUUUUCACCAAUGACUGGACAGAAAAGUUCGCCAGUAAAAUUGUCCCUUGGAGACAACUAUCCCAAGCAGAGAGAGAAACUCCCAUUUAUUUUCAAGGAAAUGUGGGCUGUUGCAAAAGAAAGGAAUCAUCUUCCCAGAAAAAAGCUGAUUAUAAUAGGUUUUAUAGUUCUUUGAGGAAGAAUUCUUCCUCAAUACCUUUUCUUUGCUACGUUUAAUUUGGAACAGAAAGCCUCUCUUUCAAGUGUGUUUAUUUCUUUUGACUAAGUGUUGCCUAUGGCAUUUAUCACCUGGAAGAGUAUAACGUAUCAAUUACAUCUUAAAGAAACUAACCAACCUAAAGUCUACCAAGUUAUCUCUUGAGACUUUUCGGUUUCUUAAAGGGCCUCAUAUGUUAUAUUAUGUAGUUUAAGUUUGAACCUAAAGAGUCGAAAAGCCAAGAUUUUUAAAUAUGUAUCUCAAUAUAGUACUUUAUUAUGUUCAGGGACAUUUAAAAAAUGGAUUAGUCUUGCUUAAUAACAUCUUUAUUUCUUUUUUAUUUUAUUUUUUAUUACUCAAUGAACUUAUUACAUUUAUAGUUGUACAAUGAUCAUCACAAUCCAGUUUUAUAGGAUUUCCAUCCCACAACCCCAGCGCAUCCCCCCAUCCUCCCAAAACUGUCUCCUUUGGAAACCACAUGUUUUUUCAAAGUCUGUGAGUCAGUAUCUGUUUUGCAAAGAAGUUAAUUCUGUCCUUUUUUCAGAUUCCACAUGUCAGUGAAAGCAUUUGAUGUUGGUGUCUCAUUGUAUGACUGACUUCACUUAGCAUGAUAAUUUCCAGGUCCAUUCAUGUUGGUAAAAAUGCCGGUAUUUCAUUCCUUUCAAUGACUGAGUAAUAUUCAAUUGUGUAUAUGUACCACAUCUUUUUGAUCCACUCCUCUGUUGAUGGACAUUUAGGUUGUUUCCAUGCCUUGGCUAUUGAAAAUAGUGCUGCAAUGAACAUUGGAGUACAUGUUUCUUUGCGAGUCAUGGUUUUCUCUGGAUUUCUAAAUUUUAUAUUACUUAAGGCUGGCCUUGGGAUAUUAUUACUUAAUAACGACUCAUACAAAAUAUUUUAAUUUGUGUCUAUAGAAAUAGAAUGUUUCUUAGGUUCCACCAGCUUGUAGAAGUCACCUGGUGGAAGUCACCUUUCAUGGUAGUAGUCUUCUCAUUCCAUGGAUCAACAACCCCUUCUGAGAGGCAGGCCCCGAUUUGUCAUGCCUACUGUGUUACCUGGGGACUCCUCUGGAAGACAGUGAAGGAGAGGGCAGACACUGGUGGUCUUGGUGUUUCUGGUUCUGUGGAUUGGCUGCUGCUUCUUUUCUUCACCUGUAGAACUUGGUCUUGACCUCUAACAACCUGGAGUGUUUAUCCUUUGCGUUGCCAUAGAAUUCUGUCUCCCAAUCCAAGCCAAGUGGAUGCUCAGUAGUGAUGGGAAAUUAUGCUUAAUUAUGCAAGAAUCCAUUAUAUUCACAAUAUUGGGGAUUAUUGUGACACAUUAUUUAAUAUGUUUUUCCCAUACUUGAGCUACUCACCAUCCUCCCUGCACUCUGAAGCAUUGUCAGUCUCUGAAGUGGGCAGGGGCACAGCCCACAAACCUUCUUGGCAUUUGGUUAGAGUUACACUCCUUUCAAAGAGAGGACAAGAGAUGUGAAUAGUUUCCAUGAGCUUGAACCUUAAUAAUGAGAACAAGUACAUAGGAUUGUGGAUCAUGCUUAAAUUCUGAGUCUUGAAUCACAAGAGACAGAGAUGCCCAGGAGUUCCUUAUUGAAUUCCUUUUGUUUGGGUUAAGGGCUUAGGCACCAUCAAGAGACUGAGCUUUAUUUUUUAUUUAUUUUUAUCUUUUGCUUUUUAGGGCCACACCUGUGGCAUCUGGAAGUUCCAAGGCGAGGGAGUGAAUCAGAGCUGCAACUGCCCACCUACACCACAGCCACAGCAACAUGGGCUCCUUAAUCCGCUGAGCAAGGUCAGGGAUCGAACCCACAUCCUCAUGGCUACUAGAUGAGUUCAGAACCCACUGAGCCACAAGGGGAACUCCAGAGACUGAGUUUUAAAGGAUGGGUGUCGCAUCUUUUUGAUCUGUGCCAGCCAGCACUUGAGCUUUGGAUACUUAGGUCUUGUGCUACUUCUCAUCCACCACCCCAGAUUCUCUCCUUAUUUACAAUGCUGCCCUUUUCUAGUUUCCUCUGCACUUUUCCAGAAGACAUAUUUCUAAUGUAUCUGAAUAUCACUCUUGUCACAGUUGAGUCCUGUCCAUUUUUCCAUGUCAUUGAACAUCCUGUGACAGUGAAAGAUACUUUUUUCCCCUAGACUUUUAGGGAGGAUCCUAAGUAUUUCCAGGAGUGUUGCCUAAAUCCACACAACCUCUGUACUAGCCUACAAAAAAGUAUCCUGUUACAUUUAAAUUAUUGUCUUUCUAGGAGUUCCCCCCUGGUGCAGCGGAAAUGAAUCCGACUAGGAACCAUGAGGUUGUGGGUUUGAUUCCUGGCCUUGCUCAGUGGGUUAAGGAUCCGGCAUUGCCAUGAGCUGUGGUGUAGGUCACAGAUGCAGAUCAGAUCCUGCAUUGCUAUGGCUGUGGUGUAGGCCAGCAGCUAUAGCUCCUACUGGUCCCCUAGUGUGGUAACCUCCAUAUGCUGUGGGUGCAGCCCUAAAAAGCAAAAAAAAAAAAAAAAAAAAAAAAAAAAA
rnacentral:lncRNA from 9 species